rnacentral:rRNA from 1 species
AUUAAGACGUUAGAUAGCAUAGUUGUUCCACACUGAAACUUUUCGAACUUAAUCUGUGAAAAACUUCUGCGGUGAAAAUACUAAUUGGAAAAAUAGCACAAUGUUUUUAU